rnacentral:rRNA from 1 species
GACGAACGCUGGCGGCGUGCUUAACACAUGCAAGUCGAACGGAAAGGCCUGUCCUUCCUUGUGUUGGACGGGUACUCGAGUGGCGAACGGGUGAGUAACACGUGAGUGAUCUGCCCCCAACUUGGGUAUAAGCCUGGGAAACUGGGUCUAAUUCCCGAUAGGACUGCAGGGUGGUGCCUGUGGUGGAAAACGAUUUUCUAGUGGUUGGGGAUGAGCUCGCGGCCUAUCAGCUUGUUGGUGGGGUAAUGGCCUACCAAGGCGGCGACGGGUAGCCGGCCUGGGAGGGUGGACGGGCACAUUGGGACUGAGAUACGGCCCAGACUCCUACGGGAGGCAGCAGUGGGGAAUAUUGCACAAUGGGCGGAAGCCUGAUGCAGCGACGCCGCGUGGGGGAUGACGGCCUUCGGGUUGUAAACUCCUUGCGACCGCGAGGAAGCCGCCUGGUUGGAAGGGUGGUGACGGUAGUGGUAGAAGAAGCACCGGCUAACUACGUG